rnacentral:rRNA from 1 species
ACGGGAGGCAGCAGUGGGGAAUAUUGGGCAAUGGGCGAAAGCCUGACCCAGCAACGCCGCGUGAAGGAAGAAGGUUUUCGGAUUGUAAACUUCUUUUAUCAGGGACGAAGGAAGUGACGGUACCUGAUGAAUAAGCCACGGCUAACUACGUGCCAGCAGCCGCGGUAAUACGUAGGUGGCAAGCGUUAUCCGGAUUUACUGGGUGUAAAGGGCGCGUAGGCGGGGAUGCAAGUCAGGUGUGAAAUCCAUGGGCUUAACCCAUGAACUGCACUUGAAACUGUAUCUCUUGAGUGUCGGAGAGGUAGACGGAAUUCCUAGUGUAGCGGUGAAAUGCGUAGAUAUUAGGAGGAACACCAGUGGCGAAGGCGGUCUACUGGACUGUAACUGACGUUGAGGCUCGAAAGCGUGGGGAGCAAACAGGAUUAGAUACCCUGGUA